rnacentral:lncRNA from 1 species
CAAAAUACCACUGAAAGUGCAUAUUUAUAAACAAGAUACUCCCAAAGACAAUCUCAGAUCAUUCUAAAAGCAAGAGCCAAACUGGUGAGAAACCACCUACUGCUGAAUAUCAAGCCAGUGCCAAAAAGGCAACAGCUACAUGCUGUUCUGUUGUUCCCUGAGUGAUCAAACAAUACUGAGAGCAAACAGGAACUUCAGCAUCAGGAAUCAAAGGACUUCCCUAGCCCUGUAGAGUGGAGAGGAGCAGAGGAGGGAUUUUCUUUAGAAACUGUUCAUUUUCCAUGCUGCUAUCUUACACCACUUUAUAUACAUCAUAAUUAUGAAGAUACACCCCCAAGGGUUUUGUUCUGAAAUUAUUCAACCCCCAACUCCAAAUGCCCUAGCAGUAUCCCAGUGUUCAUAAAGGGUGAUUACAGUAUCAGCAGUACCAGCCACCUGGGAACUUGUUGGAAAACAAAAUCUGGAAAGCCAGUCCCCUAUCCCUAAGCCUAACCUAAAACCCCUAAGGUGGGCAGAUUCAGAAGUCCAAUUAAGCAGCUCUCCAUGUGAUUCUGAAGCUUGGCUGCAGAAAUAAAGUGAAUUGAUGUAAAACAGAGAGGAAAGCAAGAGAGGAUUGAAUAUAGAAGUGCUCCAGGAUCAAAGCUGAUGUAUCAUGGGACAACUUUUAUAACUUAGUCAUUGGUCAUCUUUCUGUCUUUAUUAAUCCACUGUUUCAAUAUGAACACUGUAGCCAGUGAGACUGCUUCAAAUGAAUGUGAAAUAAAGCUGAACCUCAUCUGCUGAAACUUG